rnacentral:rRNA from 1 species
AGAUGGCGACCGGCGCACGGGUGAGUAACACGUAUCCAACCUGCCGAUAACUCGGGGAUAGCCUUUCGAAAGAAAGAUUAAUACCCGAUGGUAUAAUCAGACCGCAUGGUUUGAUUAUUAAAGAAUUUCGGUUAUCGAUGGGGAUGCGUUCCAUUAGGCAGUUGGUGAGGUAACGGCUCACCAAACCUUCGAUGGAUAGGGGUUCUGAGAGGAAGGUCCCCCACAUUGGAACUGAGACACGGUCUAA